CCUACGGGAGGCAGCAGUGAGGGAUAUUGGUCAAUGGGGGAAACCCUGAACCAGCAACGCCGCGUGAGGGAAGACGGUUUUCGGAAUGUAAACCUCUGUCAGCUGUGAAGAUGAUGACGGUAGCAGAGUAGGACGCUCCGGCUAACUACGUGCCAGCAGCUGCGGUAAUACGUAGGGAGCAAGCGUUAUCCGGAUUUACUGGGUGUAAAGGGUGCGUAGGCGGCGUGGCAAGUCAGAAGUGAAAUCCAUGGGCUUAACCCAGGAACUGCUUUUGAAACUGCAGAGCUGGAGUGGAGGAGAGGUAGGCGGAAUUCCCGGUGUAGCGGUGAAAUGCGUAGAGAUUGGGAGGAACACCAGUGGCGAAGGCGGCCUGCUGGGCUGUAACUGACGCUGAGGCACGAAAGCGUGGGUAGCAAACAGGAUUAGAUACCCUUGUAGUC
rnacentral:rRNA from 1 species